GACGAACGCUGGCGGCGUGCCUAAUACAUGCAAGUCGAACGCAGUGGGGACGGGUGAGUAACACGUGGGUAACCUCCCAUCAGAGGGGAUAACACUUGGAAACAGGUGCUAAACCGAUACUGAUGGAUGGACCCGCGGUGCAUUAGCUAGUUGGUGAGGUAACGGCUCACCAAGGCCACGAUGCAUAGCCGGCCUGAGAGGGUGAUCAGGCACACGGGAACUGAGACACGGCCCAGACUCCUACGGGAGGCAGCAGUAGGGAAUCUUCGGCAAUGGACGAAAGUCUGACCGAGCAACGCCGCGUGAGUGAAGAAGGUUUUCGGAUCGUAAAGCUCUGUUGUUAGAGAGGCGGUAUCUACCCAGAAAGCCACGGCUAACUACGUGCCAGCAGCCGCGGUAAUAC
rnacentral:rRNA from 1 species